AUACGGAGGGUGCAAGCGUUACUCGGAAUUACUGGGCGUAAAGGACGCGUAGGCGGUUUAGAAAGUCAGAUGUGAAAGCCUAUGGCUUAACCAUAGAACUGCAUUUGAAACUUCCAAACUAGAGUGGGGGAGGGGUCAGUGGAAUUAGUGGUGUAGGGGUAAAAUCCGUAGAGAUCACUAGGAAUACUCAUUGCGAAGGCGACUGACUGGAACUUAACUGACGCUGAGGCGUGAAAGCGUGGGUAGCAAACAGGAUUAGAAACCCCGGUAGUCC
rnacentral:rRNA from 1 species